AGUGCAGGUCUGCAGGAAGGGCCUGCCUCCACUCAUGCAGGUACCUGGGAUCACCUGUCCAUUGGCUACACUGCCCUUUAGGGCCUCCAAAUCCCCAGCUGAAUUAUUCCCAUCCAUCUAGUAGGAAAGGAAAAAAGAAUGUUGAAGGAUCAUGCAAAAUGUUUUAGGGGCCAGUCCUGGACGUAAAAUAUGUUACAUUGGCUAGAAUGCUGUUACACAUUGCCACCUAUUUCAAGAGAUGCUGAGAUUUGGAGUCUUCUUGGGUGCCCAGAGAUUUGAGUAUCACCUAGCACUGUUUCUGCUUCAGGGAAAUGGAAGUAGAACUCUGAAGCUAAAUCAGAGGACUCCAAGCAAAUGAAGUGACUGAAAGCAAGAAUGGCUCAUUGCCCUUGAGCUACACAGAAAUGUAUAGGUGGGUGUAUUGGGUCGGUUCCCUGGAAGCACAACCUCAGAUGGGGAUUCUUGUGCAAAAGAUACACGGAGGAAGAGCUCAAGGAAGUAACUUGCAAUGAAGCAAGGGGAGCAAGCUGGAGCAGGAGAAAAGAUCAGGCAAAGGCAUGCUUUCAGAAGUCUAGCCUCGGCCUCAUCCACAGGGAGCUCCAGAGAGUGAAUGGUACCAUGCAGCUGGUCAACCUUCUUGGAGGAGGGAGCUGCUGAUAGCCUUCAGUAGACAGCACUUGCACUAGCCAAGGGAUGAGUGCACCAGCCCAGUGGAGGGGAUCUGGGUAGAGCACCUAUGCCAUCUGCUAUAAUAGGAAGGACAUGCUUUUCCUUUUCGUAUCCUCUACCUGAAGCAAUAUAUCACGUACUCAGCAGACGCUCAAUAAGUGUUUGAGAAAUGAAGAAACAAAAAGACAGAGGGAAGGAGAGAAGAAAAGAAACAAGAUUACAGAAAAUUCUAAAAUACUCUUGGGCUCCAAGAAAUGCAUCUUCAAAUAAGGAACUUCACAUACUUAUGCUGAGCAAUGAGAGAGAUAUUUUGAGAAACCUGAAAAAAUAAGAGAACUUUGAGUUUUCAGUGCUCUGGAAAUGGCAAAAAGACCACUCUGGUAACUGAAUUGAAAAUAGGCUAAAGGAGGACAAGAGCAGAAGGGAGGAAAGAAUUGCAAUAAACCAGGCAAGAGAUGGCAGUGAAUAAAGAGGUAUUUCAUGGAGGGGCUUCUCCAAGUUUAAUGUGCACAAGAAUCACUGGGAAGCUUGCUGAAGAGCAGAUUGUAAUUCUGCAAGUCAGGGACGGGGCCUGAGAUUCUGAAUUUCUAACAAAUUUUCAGGUGAUGCUAAUAUUGCUGAUUUGAUGACCACAGUUGAGAAGGAAGACUUCUUGAACUUGCUGAUAGGUUGCAUUUGGAAAGCAUAAAAAGAAAAGAAUCAA
rnacentral:lncRNA from 1 species